rnacentral:rRNA from 1 species
AUGGCUUGUUUGAAUCAAAACCAGAGCAUGUAUGAAAUGAAAAAAAGUCUUUAUGCUUCAAGAUAUUUAGAAGCUAUGAACGAUUUCUAUAAGUGUGCUACCCAAAAAAGUUUGAUAAAAGUAACAGAUUUGACAUUCAACUUUCCAGUUCCAUGUGAGUGGUGCGUUGGAGCAACUUCACUUCACUUUUCUAGUGGGCCCAGACAUAUAUAUCCAUUUGCCAUUUCGAGAGUUAUCUUGUGCUAUGAGUUAUAUAGUGUGCUAUGCUUGUCACGAGCUAAUGUUCUGGCGUAUCUGUUUCUGUAG